rnacentral:rRNA from 1 species
UAGGGAAUCUUCCACAAUGGGCGAAAGCCUGAUGGAGCAACGCCGCGUGUGUGAUGAAGGCUUUAGGGUCGUAAAGCACUGUUGUAUGAGAAGAAAUGCUAGAAUAGGGAAUGAUUCUAGUUCGACGGUACCAUACCAGAAAGGGACGGCUAAAUACGUGCCAGCAGCCGCGGUAAUACGUAUGUCCCGAGCGUUAUCCGGAUUUAUUGGGCGUAAAGCGAGCGCAGACGGUUGAUUAAGUCUGAUGUGAAAGCCCGGAGCUCAACUCCGGAAUGGCAUUGGAAACUGGUUAACUUGAGUGUUGUAGAGGUAAGUGGAACUCCAUGUGUAGCGGUGGAAUGCGUAGAUAUAUGGAAGAACACCAGUGGCGAAGGCGGCUUACUGGACAACAACUGACGUUGAGGCUCGAAAGUGUGGGUAGCAAACAGGAUUAGAUACCCUGGUAGUCCACACCGUNNCGAUGAAUACUAGGUGUUAGGAGGUUUCCGCCUCUUAGUGCCGAAGCUAACGCANUAANUAUUCCGCCUGGGGAGUACGACCGCAAGGUUG